UGUAUUCCACAGCCCUGUUUGGGUCUUCCCAAAACCUCUUACAGCUAUUGUUGGUGAAAUUGUAUACAGCAUAGACAAUAUUAAGUGACGACUCAAGAGAUGGCUGAUGCUGGAAUUUGAGAGAAGAAACUGCUGAAGGAAUUCAGCGGGUCUGCAGGGGAAAGAAAUUGUGAAUAUUGGAUUUCGACCCGUAACGUCAGAUCCUUCUUCACCCUGCUGCCCAACCCGCUAAGUUCCUCCUGCAGACUGUUGGUUGCUAAUUAUUUAAAAUGUCCUUUAUUAAUGUUGUUCGAAGGAGCAGUUUGGACACCUUGGCUAAUACCCUGCUCGUGCAUAAGGUGCCUUGGGAAUAUUUGAAGCAUUGGUACUCCCACUGACAUGACAGUGCAACAUUCCCGCAGUAUGACGAACAAGGAGGAUGGAAUCUCAAUACCACAAAUGGAGAAUACUUGUGGCAUGCUUCAGUAAAAUCCCUGGAUCAGAAAUACCAAGAGGUCCUUGGCCAUCAUGCCAACAAUCGAUCUUAGAGGGAAAUAGUUGUCAUCAUGUCAUAUCCUUUACGAAAUGGAAAGCAGCCUUUUGAAUCCAGCAAUGGAAAGGGAAAAACUUUGAAAGAAAAAUCAGAAGAUAUGCCUGUCUGGGCUGAGUGUUUGGAACACGUGUUGAUGGCUCUCAACAACAAAAUAGACAAUAACACUUCUGAGUUGAAGUCGUUCCAACAGAGUUUUCAGACUCUUGAGGAAAAUAUUAUUUCCUUGAAUACUGAGUUUAAAGAAUCGAAACGUCAGAUUGUGGAUAUUUCAACCCGCUUGGAACAGGCUCAACGUAAAGUUGUCAAUUUAGAGGCAAAGUCUCGUCGGAAUAAUAUUCGAAUUAUUGGACUGAAGGAAGGUUCUGGGAGUGGGAAUUUAUUGGGCUAUUUUGCCAAUUUGUUUCAAUCUUUGUUUCCAGAUAUUCUACCUCAACCUCCCGAUAUUGAAAGAGCUCAUAGAAUUUUCAUUUCAAAUCCUCAGAUUUCAGGUAAACCUCGGCCAAUUUUGGUCAACUUUCUUUGCUUUAAAGUUAAAGACCAAAUCAUAAAAUGUGCAAGGAAACAGAGUUUUUAAAUUUAACGGUUCCGAGAUCCGUUAUUACGAAGACUAUCCACGGGAAAUUAUGGAACAGUGGAUCAAAUUUGUCCCAACUAUGAAAAUUGCUUAUGCAAAGGGACUUUUUCCAUUGCUUUGCUACCCCCCUAGAUUAAAAUUAUUUCCUAAAGAUUCUACACCUCGUGUGUUUUCGGAUUCCCAAGCAGCAUUGGACUUUAACUCUACCGUGGAGUUGGCUGUCGCAUGAAGGAUCUUUGGUGUGCUGAAUAAUUUUCUGAAAGAAAACAGGCUUUGAAGAUUUUUCAUAUACUGACGAUUUCCUUUGAUCGAUGAACUAUUUAAAGAAGAGGUGAACUUCUUGGUUUGACUAAUGAAUGACUUUUUUGAAGUCUCUUUGGUAUUUGGAGUGAACUAACACAGUGGACAGAUUAUUAACUGGUUUGAUUAUCUGCUUCUUUCUUCCUUUUCUUUUAUUAAUUAAGUGAUAGCUUUCAUAGUUUAUAUAGACUAUUUCUUAUAUAGUGGAGAGUAUUUAGAAUAGAUAAUUAGCUUUAGUUUCCUUUGUCAAAGUUGGGUAAUAAGCUAAAGGAAUAAUGGUGCCUUAUUUUUGUUAGGGAUUGUAUUGUUUAGGUUGAAUAGUGUUGUUUUGAUGCUUCUGGAGACUGGUUUUGCAUUCCCUAGUUUAUUUUCAAUGAUUAACUAUAAACAUCCUUUUUCUGCUUCUCUGCUGGGCUUUCUUAUCUCAGAGUCAUGUGUUUUCUUUGUAAAGGGGAGGGGGGGAAUUUGAAGAUAAAAGUAAUAAGCUACUAGCAUCCCAACUAAAAGCAGUUAGAGCUAAAAGACAAAUUUUAAAAAAUCGUAAGGGAGAUGGUUGUUUAGCGAGUAAAUAUGAAGAUAUUAAUAACAUUUUUCAGGACUAUUACAGUGAACUCUAUAAAUCUGUUUCCAGCUGACCCUUCUAAAAUGAAUGCCUUUUUACAAAAGAUUGAUUUUCCUGGAAUGUCUGUUGAAGAUCAACAAAUUCUUGAUACUCCUUUUACUGAAAGAGUAUCAAUGCAAUCUGGUAAAGCUCCUGGACUAGAUGGUUUUUCUGUAGGAUUUUAUAAAAAAAUUUGAAAAUUUGCUUACUCCUUGUAUGUUGGAAAUGCUUAAAGAUUCCUUUUUGUUAGGAGAGUUACUUUCUACAUUUUAUGAAGCUUCUAUUUCUUUAAUUUUUAAGAAAGAUAAAGACCCUACGGAUUAUGCUUCAUAUAGACCUAUCUCAUUAUUAAAUGUAGAUUCCAAAAUUCUUUCAAAAUUAAUGGCUAAUCAGUUGGA